UCUUGUCCUUACACCUUUAUCACCAAAAGAGGCACAUGAAGAUCAAGUCAAAAUUAAAUGGUCCUUUGAUGAAUACUCAAGAAGAGUAUAAGAGAGAAGGAAGGCCGCAGAAAAAGUCAAUGGCCUAUUGAGCAUAAAGGUUGCUCAGCCGAUAGCUAAAGGUGCUCCAUUACAAGAAAAAUCAAGAGAGAAAACAAGGGAGUGUCCUGAUGACAAGGACAUA
rnacentral:lncRNA from 1 species